rnacentral:rRNA from 1 species
AUUGAACGCUGGCGGCAUGCCUUACACAUGCAAGUCGAACGGCAGCACGGGAGCAAUCCUGGUGGCGAGUGGCGAACGGGUGAGUAAUAUAUCGGAACGUGCCCAGUCGUGGGGGAUAACGCAGCGAAAGCUGUGCUAAUACCGCAUACGAUCUAAGGAUGAAAGCGGGGGAUCGCAAGACCUCGCCCGAUUGGAGCGGCCGAUAUCAGAUUAGCUAGUUGGUGGGGUAAAGGCCCACCAAGGCGACGAUCUGUAGCUGGUCUGAGAGGACGACCAGCCACACUGGAACUGAGACACGGUCCAGACUCCUACGGGAGGCAGCAGUGGGGAAUUUUGGACAAUGGGCGCAAGCCUGAUCCAGCAAUGCCGCGUGCAGGAUGCAGGCCUUCGGGUUGUAAACUGCUUUUGUACGGAACGAAACGGCCCUUUCUAAUACAGGGGGCUAAUGACGGUACCGUAAGAAUAAGCACCGGCUAACUACGUGCCAGCAGCCGCAGUAA